AUAUUGGUGAAAAUGAAGAUAUCCUAAAGUGGCACAGUGUUGUUUUACAGAUAAAUGGAGCCAGGUAUAGUGAAAAUUGCCGAAGACAGUGACUUUGACAUGUUGAAAAACCUCGUCGACGAUCACUCUAACUGGAAACUGGACUACGACAAGGGGGACGAAACAAAGGUAUGGACAAAAUCAACUCCAAACUGCAGCUUCAAAAUGGUUAAAAUUCAGGCGGUCUUCCAAGAUAUAAAGGCCAGUACAUUAUUUGAUGUACUUCACGAUCCGGAAUACCGUAAAGAGUGGGAUGAACAUAUGCAGUCAUCUAUAGAAAUAGGCUACCUGAAUCCCAAUAACGAUAUCGGAUACUAUGCGAUAUAUUGUCCGCCGCCUGUGAAGAAUCGAGACUUCGUAUUACAAAGGUCGUGGCUAGACAUGGGAGAUGAGAAAUUAAUUUUAAAUCAUUCUGUAGAACAUAAAGACUACGCUGUAAGAAAAGGAUUUAUUAGGGCAAUAUCUCAUCUGACCGGUUUCGUGAUAAGAAGUGUCCCAAACGGAUGUUUUCUUGGAUAUAUAUCACAAACUGAUCCUAGAGGAAAAUUACCACCUUGGUUAGUUAAUAAAAUUACUCAAAAAUUCGCGCCUAAAGUAGUCAAACAACUCAGGAAAGCCGCUGAAGGAUACGAGAGUUGGAAAGCAUCACAAGUUGAUCCUACACUCAAACCCUGGGUAUACCCUGAACAAACGUUAUCUUCCCCAAGAAUUAGUUUAUGUGAUGUCGUAGUUCUGAAAUGGGUCCCGUAGAAAAAGGUGAAUAACACAACAGUGAUACUUAGAGCAGAUGAAUAAACAUCAAAGUGUGUCGCCGUUGGUGUUCCUUUAGCUGCUUCAGCAGAUUGUGAAGAAUCUGACUGAUUGUUAUUUUCACAUUAUACGACGUCUGUACAAGAUUACAAAAUAUUAAAUACUACUUACCUUCGAUUUCGCUAAAAAAUAUGUUUUGACUAAAACAAUUUCUGUGGGUGAAUCGGGGACAAAUUAUACAAAUCCAAUGAAAAAUUACCAUGUUUUAUGAUAUCUAGUACAAUUAAUUUCUGCUUAACAGUUGAAUCAGUUUUCAAUUUUUAAUUAAACAAUUGACAGGUGCCUUAGUAUCGCUAUUUUAAAUAGUAAUUAUGUUGAUGUCUAAUUUGUGGUGAUUGUAUUUCAUCUCGCAAUGAAGCCGUAGAAACAUGAAUUCAUUCCGAAAAGGCAAAGGCAAGGCUAUUUCAUUUAAAUUGGUAUCUCGAAUAACACUUCUUGAAAUAAAUGAAAAAUGUAA
rnacentral:misc_RNA from 1 species